CUGCUGCCUUCCGUAGGAGUUUGGGCCGUGUCUCAGUCCCAAUGUGGCCGUUCACCCUCUCAGGCCGGCUACUGAUCGUCGCUUUGGUGGGCCGUUACCCCACCAACUGGCUAAUCAGACGCGGAUCCAUCGUAUACCACCGGAGUUUUUCACACUGUUCCAUGCGGAACCGUGCGCUUAUGCGGUAUUAGCACCUAUUUCUAAGUGUUAUCCCCCUGUAUACGGCAGGUUAUCCACGCGUUACUCACCCGUCCGCCACUAA
rnacentral:rRNA from 1 species